rnacentral:rRNA from 1 species
AACGCGAAGAACCUUACCAGCCCUUGACAUGUCCGGGACCGGUCGCAGAGACGCGACCUUCUCUUCGGAGCCCGGAACACAGGUGCUGCAUGGCUGUCGUCAGCUCGUGUCGUGAGAUGUUGGGUUAAGUCCCGCAACGAGCGCAACCCCCGUCCUUAGUUGCUACCAUUUAGUUGAGCACUCUAAGGAGACUGCCGGUGAUAAGCCGCGAGGAAGGUGGGGAUGACGUCAAGUCCUCAUGGCCCUUACGGGCUGGGCUACACACGUGCUACAAUGGCGGUGACAAUGGGACGCUAAGGGGCAACCCUUCGCAAAUCUCAAAAAGCCGUCUCAGUUCGGAUUGGGCUCUGCAACUCGAGCCCAUGAAGUUGGAAUCGCUAGUAAUCGUGGAUCAGCACGCCACGGUGAAUACGUUCCCGGGCCUUGUA